GAGGAGAAGCCCUACGAAUUGAAUUUCGUGGGCGGUGAAGCCAAUUCACGACGCCAAUGGCUUCUGCUGCUCGUAGGAGUGGAGGAGGCCUCCGUUAAGGUCAUUACAGAGUUAUUAUGUGCCGGAACUUCGUUUAUGUCACUUUCAUUAUCGCCGGCGCUUUUGUUGGCGAGCGGUCGAUAGUUGAUACCUCCACUUUGGACCAUGCUUCUUUGUCAAUUUGGUUCUCCUGAUGCAGACCGUUGAUUAUGGCGUACCAAGCUCUGGGAAUACCACAAUGUUGAGAAACGGUAUGAGGAUAUUUCAGUGUUGAGGCAAAGAUGAUCAAAAGAAUGAUGUUCGUUUUAUGACAAAGAAUCGUGUGAGAUCCCACGUUUGUUGGAGAUGAGAAUGAAUCAUUCCUUAUAAGUGUGUGGAAAUCUCUCCCUAGUAGACGCGUUUUAAAAUCGUGAGAGGAAGCCUAGA